rnacentral:rRNA from 1 species
GACGAACGCUGGCGGCGUGCUUAACACAUGCAAGUCGAACGGAAAGGCCCUGCUUUUGUGGGGUGCUCGAGUGGCGAACGGGUGAGUAACACGUGAGUAACCUGCCCUUGACUUUGGGAUAACUUCAGGAAACUGGGGCUAAUACCGGAUAGGAGCUCCUGCUGCAUGGUGGGGGUUGGAAAGUUUCGGCGGUUGGGGAUGGACUCGCGGCUUAUCAGCUUGUUGGUGGGGUAGUGGCUUACCAAGGCUUUGACGGGUAGCCGGCCUGAGAGGGUGACCGGCCACAUGGGGACUGAGAUACGGCCCAGACUCCUACGGGAGGCAGCAGGGGGGAAUAUUGCACAAUGGGAGGAAGCCUGAGGCAGCAACGCCGCGUGCGGGAUGACGGCCUUCGGGGUGUAAACCGCUUUCGCCUGUGACGAAGCGUGAGUGACGGUAAUGGGUAAAGAAGCACCGGCUAACUACGUG